rnacentral:rRNA from 1 species
CUUUCAACAACGGAUCUCUUGGUUCUGGCAUCGAUGAAGAACGCAGCGAAAUGCGAUAAGUAAUGCGAAUUGCAGAAUUCCGUGAGUCAUCGAAUCUUUGAACGCACAUUGCGCCCUUUGGUAUUCCGAAGGGCAUGCCUGUCCGAGCGUCAUUAUCAAC